UACUAGAGUAGCACUCGCAUAUCAAUAAGCGGAGGAAAAGAGACUAACAAGGAUUCCCCUAGUAACGGCGAGUGAAGCGGGAAGAGCUCAAAUUUGAAAUCUUAAAGGGUUUCCCUUUACGAAUUGUAGUUUAAAGAAGUGUUUUCUGUUGAGGUUUUGGUAAAAGUUCUUUGGAAUAGGACAUCAUAGAGGGUGAGAAUCCCGUAUUUGACCUUUACUUUCAACUUUGUGAUACACUUUCAAAGAGUCGGAUUGUUUGGGAAUGCAGUCCAAAAUGGGUGGUAAAUUUCAUCUAAAGCUAAAUAUUGGCGAGAGACCGAUAGCGAAUAAGUACCGUGAGGGAAAGAUGAAAAGAACUUUGAAAAGAGAGUUAAACAGUACGUGAAAUUGUCGAAAAGGGAAGCGUUUGACACCAGUGUUGUUUUUCUGAAAAUCAAUUAAAGAACUGUUUAUGCUAAGUUGUUUAGACUUUAUCAGCUAACUGUUUAGUUUUGAGCUUUUCUUUAAUGCACUUUUCAGUUAACAAGUCAACAUCAAUUUCUUUUGCUGUAAAAAAGCUUGAGGAAGGUGGCUUGAGAUUCGUCUUAAGUGUUUAUAGCCUCUUGCCUAUGCAGUCGGAGAGAUUGAGGUCUGCAGCGUAGAUCCUUCGGGGCUAAAUGCAUUUGUGCUAAGUUAUAGCAUUUUAUAGACAACUUGUUGACUAUGAUUUGUCUUGUAGCUUACUCGCUUAUGUUAUUUUACCUACGCUUAGGAUGUUGAACUCUAUCACACACAG
rnacentral:rRNA from 1 species